AAGCAGAAAAAGACGGGAUAGGAAUGUCUGCUGGCAGGCGGCGAGGCAGCUGUUGGAAGGCUCACCACCUGUCAGCAACAUAUCACUGCCACAACAUCCAGGAAAAGAAAGCAAAGGUCAUUUUCAGAAAAAAAGGAACAGAAAGCUCCCUGAGGCUGUUUGUCCAAACAGUAC